rnacentral:lncRNA from 1 species
CCACCCUAGUUACUGUUCUGCCUAGAUAUAAGGAUCUACAAGUGUGAUAGGACCCUGAAAUGGUUUCCAUGGAGACACUGUGAUGUCCUUGUGGGGCUGUGGUGUUGUUCAAUUCUAGACCUGAGCAGAGGCAGGAAAAUGGAGGAGAUGACUGAGUUUAGUGAGACCAGCUCUGUCCAUUUGUCUGAAAGUCUACCACUUGGCCCCAGAAUGCUCACCCCUCUUAGCACUGAAAAAAUAUUACUCUGAGAAGGGGAAAAUAGUCACCAGACUGUUAGAGGGACCUACGAUACAAGAAUAUGAAGAACACGAGGAUUUCAGAAAGAGCUGGAGAGACCUCCAUGAACUGAUGCAAAGUGAAAUAAGCAGAACCAGGAGAACAUUGUACACGGUAACGGCAAUAUUGUGGAGUGAUCAAAAGUGAUAGACUUACUUGCUAACAGUUUCUUCAUCUGUCAUCAUGAUUCAGGACAAUUCUGAGGGCCUUAGGACAAAGACUGCUAUCCACCUGUACAGACAACUCUCAGAGUAGAAAUGCAGAUGAAAAAUAUGAUUUAUCACUUGUUUAUUUGAGGAUAUGUUUUGGGGUUUUGGUUCUAUAAGGUUAUUCACUUAUAAAAAUGAAUAGAAUGGAAAUAUGUUUUGCAUGAUGACACAUGUAUAACCUAGAUUGAAUUGCUUGUCACCUCUGGGAAGGGGCAGGGAAGAGGGGAGGGAGACAGUAGGGAUCUUAUGACUCUGGAAAAUAUACGUGGAAAUCUGUUAUUAAAAAUAUCUCUCUGGUGCUAAUAAAAAAUAAUGAAGAAAAGAAAAAGAAAAGAAU